CUGAGUCCCCUGGGACGAGGCGCCAUAGGGAGUGAGAGCCCGGUAUAGUCGGACGCUAAGCCUGUGUAAAGCUCCUUCGACGAGUCGAGGAGUUUGGGAAUGCUGCUCAAAAUGGGAGGUAAAUUUCUUCUAAAGCUAAAUACCGGCCAGAGACCGAUAGCGCACAAGUAGAGUGAUCGAAAGAUGAAAAGCACUUUGAAAAGAGGGUUAAAUAGCACGUGAAAUUGUUGAAAGGGAAGCGCUUGUGACCAGACUUGCGCCUGGCUGAUCAUCCGGUGUUCUCACCGGUGCACUCUGCCAGGCUCAGGCCAGCAUCGGUUCUCGCGGGGGGAUAAAGGCCCUGGGAACGUAGCUCCUCCGGGAGUGUUAUAGCCCAGGGUGCAAUGCCCUCGCGGGGACCGAGGGUCGCGCAUCUGCAAGGAUGCUGGCGUAAUGGUCAUCAGCGACCCGUCUUGAAACA
rnacentral:rRNA from 1 species